GACGAACGCUGGCGGCGCGCUUAACACAUGCAAGUCGAGCGAGAACCGGGGCUUCGGCCCCGGGGACAGCGGCGAACGGGUGAGUAACACGUGGGUAACCUGCCCUCGGCACCGGGAUAGCCCGGGGAAACCCGGAUUAAUACCGGAUGGCCCCUCCGGCCCUCGGGCCGGCCGGGAAAGGUAGCUUCGGCCCCCGCUUUGGGAUGGGCCCGCGGCCCAUUAGCUUGUUGGGGAGGUAACGGCUCACCAAGGCGACGAUGGGUAGCUGGUCUGAGAGGACGAUCAGCCGCACUGGGACUGAGACACGGCCCAGACUCCUACGGGAGGCAGCAGUGGGGAAUCUUGCGCAAUGCGCGAAAGCGUGACGCAGCAACGCCGCGUGGGGGAAGAAGGCCUUCGGGUUGUAAACCCCUUUCAGGAGGGACGAAGCUCCGGGAGUGAAUAGCUUUCCGGAGUGACGGUACCUCCAUAAGAAGCCCCGGCUAACUACGUGCCAGCCGCCGCAGUAAAAC
rnacentral:rRNA from 1 species